rnacentral:lncRNA from 1 species
AGACAAACAGCAUGCUGUGUGUGUUCUGCUGGAACAUAAUACUGGAAUUCUUCUGAACAGUUUUUGAACAGUAUAUCAGAGCAUGGUUAAGAUGUGAGAUGGAGAGUUCUUNUCCUGAAGGCAACUUUAAAAGCUCUCAAGGAGAACAAAAGCUUUAUGCAGUUGAGUCCUUAAACAACUUAAAUGAACAAAAUCUUUGUGCACCUCAUUCACAACAGCCAGUAGUCUGGGAAGAAAGCUCANAUAGUGCGGGCUAUUUGUUGAUGCAACAUGGCAGGAAAUAUCAAAGAUGGUUCUUCGUCGUAUUGAUCAUUACUUUAAUUGUCAGUUUGGCCCUUGUUUCAUUUGUAAUAAUCUUAGU